AUUGAACGCUGGCGGCAGGCCUAACACAUGCAAGUCGAACGAGUGGCGGACGGGUGAGAAAUGUCUGGGAAACUGCCUGAUGGAGGGGGAUAACUACUGGAAACGGUAGCUAAUCCCGCAUACCAUCGGAUGUGCCCAGAUGGGAUUAGCUAGUAGGUGGGGUAAAGGCUCACCUAGGCGACGAUCCCUAGCUGGUCUGAGAGGUUGACCGGCCACACUGGAACUGAGACACGGUCCAGACUACUACGGGAGGCAGCAGUGGGGAAUAUUGCACAAUGGGCGAAAGCCUGAUGCAGCAAUGCCGCGUGUAUGAAGAAGGCCGUCGGGUUGUAAAGUACUUUCAGUGGGGAGGCGUUACCCGCAGAAGAAGCACCGGCUAACUCCGUGCCAGCAGCCGCGGUAAUUC
rnacentral:rRNA from 1 species